GAAAAGCAAACAGAAGAAUGACUUUCAGCUUCUACUGGAAAGUUGCACACAAGACUGAUAGCCAUUCACCACACUGUACACAACACUGAAUAAUGGCAUUCACACUGUCGAAUUUGUCAUGUCUAACUGCUUUCUCUCAGGUAAUCAAAGGACCAUAAAGCUCUGAUGUAUGAGCCGCUUGGACACGUUGAGAUAUUUUAAGAUUAUUCAAGAAGGAGACAACAGUGAACUAGGCUUCAACAACUUGUGAAGUUUAAUGAAUCUAUUCAACUAGUGUCAGCCACAUCAAUAAAUAAUUUAAUAAGAAGCCGUCAUCCAUGAAGGAGAAUGCAGUCCAAACAAUUAUAAAGGAACAGACAAGACCAAGGUCAACAUUAUGAGGUUGACAAAUCUCGUCAUACUUGAGCCCCAAGCCAAAGAUAUUACACCAGCUGAGUCUGAUGAUUUUAUCCAAGUGAAUCCCAUAUUAUCAGUAAUAUCAAGAGAAACUAAUAAAGGUGAGAUAAUAUAUCUGAAGCCCAAAUUUGUUUUACUCUAAAUUUCUAGCAGAAAGACAUAUUUAGGAGCCACAAUGAGUGUGUGAACAUGCUCUAUUUGUCUUACGUGGAAUUGUUUGUUACUAAAUUGAUUGAACACAUCCUAAACUUAGAUUUUUCAUUCAUACCCAGACUUCUAGAUUCUCAUAAAAACUCAGAGGUACCACGUGAGUGAACCUCUUGUGAUGGAACUGUGUCUGUGUGGCUGUAGUUCUUUUGAAUGAAAUUUGAUUUCUCUAGUUCACCAUGGACAAUAAUCCCCUCUCUCAUACUACAUCCAUUUAGACGUUCUAUUUGGAUGAAGUGGCUGAACCUCAGAACUAUUGUAGAUUUUUAGCACAAGAAUUGAAAUAAGAAAUCAUGAAAAGUUAAUUAGCAGAAUCCAACCUUACCUACAACACUCUGGAUACAUUAUGCCUUAUAAUUACUGUUUCUUCAGUAUCUUCAUAAGAACUUUAGUUUGACCUCUUAUGAAAAAUAUUAAAGAUAAUGUCUCUCUAGGCUUGAAAGAACUAACUUUCCUCUCACUGUAUAUAGUUUCCUCUUGGCUGGAUAGAAAGCACAUUAAGUCUCUGUUGUGGAGUUGCUGUAGGCUCUAAAUGACACCUGUGGGGACUUGGGGUCUAUCCCUUGGAAGGUAGGACAGCCUGCCCAACUCCACACCAUGACCACAAUGGAUCUGGGAUGAUUUCUUUCUGUUUCUCCUGCUGAAUCAUCAAAUGCUUGAGCCAAAUACUAGACUUUGACAUCAUCUGAAGUCUGACUAGAGGUUUUUAGAUAUUCUAACUUAUAACUUCAUUCCUUUAAUGAGGUUGGGCAUAUAAAAUUUUCCUGUAGAAAGUACAUGUGUACUUUAUACAAUUGAAUAUACUUCCUUUAUAUUUUUGUGAUUGUUUUAAGCUAGUUUAUGAUUAUACUGAUUUUUUAAAAUGUAUUUUCACAACCUUUCUUAAAUAUCUUGAUUUGCAAUCAUUAAUGACAUGUACCUUUUUUUAAAGGAAGAAAAAUAAGCAAUGGAAACAAAAAUAUAUUCAAGUUCCAGUUGUUCUUCAUAUAAGCAUCAUAUUCAAUUUGCAGAAAGGUCAGUUAAAUGAAUUGAUAACUAAAAAGCCAAUAAUUAAAUGCCUAAAUAAAGCAAUGAUAGUAGAAUAGAAAUUUACAUAUGAACCUUUUACUACAUCAGUUAAAAAAUGCAUCUUUGGUUAUUUUGUUGAAUUGUAGAGAAGAGUUGCCAAGGCCAUAUGCAUAUGAUUCAAGUGAAAUUUAGCUUCUUGAAGACUUUUAUCUGGGAUUAUAGUCUCUGUCUUAUUUAUACAAGGUCUUAAUCAUAAAAGCAAAAACUGUACUCUGACUCAUAUUAUGUAAUUUGUUAAAUAACUUGUUCUUUAAAUGUAGAUAUUUUGGUUAUAUUCAAACUUGUAUAAGGUGCUAAUUACGAUUUCACUUAAAAUAAAUUUAUUUCAAUAA